AUUCUCAUGAUGCAAUAAAAGCAUACUUGUCUUUUUAACAAGAGAUCCAGGUUCGAACCCUGGUGGGUAUA
rnacentral:tRNA from 1 species